GCCUGGGUGGCUCAGUCAGUUGAGCGUCCGACUUCAGCUCGGGUCAUGAUCUCACGGUCUGUGAGUUCGAGCCCCGCGUCGGGCU
rnacentral:tRNA from 1 species